UGUGCAUAAAGUAAAUCCCCUCCCAUUAUUUACUAAAUCCCCAUGAGUUUAUUACAAACUAUUACAGUCCAAUAAAUCAAACUAAAGAUUAAAAGUACAUCAGAAAUUACAGCUGCAUCCAAGGAACUUAAUUCAGACUUAAUGUCUAACAAAAUGAGAUGAACCACUUCUGAGAUCAAGAUUUCCAAAGCCUUCUCUUAUCUAGGUUGUUUCGAAGUUCCAAGGAGUUUCAGGAACUCUAGGCAGUACUUACAUCCCAGAAAUCAUUUAGAACUGAAUUAAAAUGCAGUGUGGAAAGGUCAGCCUUCUAGUAUCUAAGUUCAAAGGGAGCUCAUGAGUCCCAAGGCAAGGCUAAGAAGAGAUGAGAAGAACUUAGAUUCUAGGAACAAGUGCAAGUGAAAUAGAGGGGAUUAGGGAGUGCCAAGGCAGGCUGGUGGUCAUGCCCAACCAUAUGGUAGGCUGGCACACCCCUGACCAGCUUGUCAGCCAAACAAUUAAGAGUAAAGACUUAUUGAAGGUCAGACCAUGGCCUGGGUAGUGAUUAGGACAAUGCCAGACCAAAGUCUUAACUCGGCAUACAUAUAAAGGGAAUAGGGUAUGGGAGUUGAAAGAUCUUAGGACUCAAAGGGCCCAGUUCGUAUCCAUGGACAAUAAUACCAGGUAUUGCCAUGUUUUUGAACCAUAGCUCAACCACACAAAGGGAAUUGGGGUUAGGUAUUCAUAUAAGAACAGAAACAAAGAAGGCGGCAAAGCUUGUAGAAAUUACAGCAUAUAAACAGUAAGCCAACCAAAGAAUGAACUAUAGAAUAAACACAUAGGGGGUGAGGAAAAAGUUAUAAAGAACAUACCAGUUUCAAAAAGAUAAGCAAGGAAAGCGGGAUUAUUGCAAACGAGCCACAGUAAGAAAGGACACUUUAUGUGUGUGAGUGAGUUCAGAGAAAAACUCGAAUGCUUGUGGAAAAUAUUGAAUUCUUAGUGUGUUUUAAGGUAUUCAUUUGAAAGUGUCUAAAAGUGUAGAAGGGCAUCCAGUUUCAUAGCGCAUAAAGACAAAAACAAAAGGUAAAAAAUAACUUUUAAAAUUAGUCUCAUAUGAUCUCCCUUUAGUUAAGGGAUUUGAUUUCAAACAGGAGACUAUAAUUAAGGAAAGAAAACUUGAGUACAAUCCUUCAUAGCUUCAUAAGAAGGGUAAAUACAUAGGGUUAUUUUAGGAAAAGAGUUCAAUGGUACUCGGUUUGUAAAGAAAAGGAAAGGGAAUCAAUCAGAUAACUAAUAAAAAUCAUAGUGACAGGUUUAAUUUGAAUGAACCAAGUCAGGAAUAGGUAAAGAGGGUUCAACCAAUGAAAAUCAGUGGCAAUCAGUCAAAACCCCAUCAAAUGAAUUCAGAAUCAGCCAAUUAGUUGUCAAAUCCUUUUGAAAGAGGAGUUUCUCAUAUAUAAAGUAGACAAAUCAAACAAAAGGGAUCGUCAAGUUAUUCAAGAAAUGAGUCUAAUAUUUAAAGGUUUAGAAUCAUAAGCAAAAAGGAAUACGAGUUUAAUUAUAGACUCAUGGUGAGCCUGAAUGUCCAGGGUUCCAAAGUGGAACCCUAAUCCAACUUUUCAAAGAAACCCCCAAAUUCUAGGGUUUCAAAUCGAAUCAAAAAUAGAGAUGAGAAGGCAAGUUAAGGGAAAUAGACUUAAGGAUCUAUUUCAGAGCCUCAUGAGAAACAAACAAAUGUGAUAGCAGGUUUGAAAGAAUCAAAGAAAGAAAAUUGAUUUAAGGCAUGAAGAACAUAUUUUAGAAAAAUCGGAACUUAAGCCAGUUCAGGAGAGAAUGAGCGAUACAAACUUAAGGAGCAGUAGAUGAAAUAUGCUUAGUAAGAACACAACAGAGUCCAGUAGAGAAAAAAUAAAAAAUCAAAGAAUUUACAGCAAACACAUAUAGUAGAAAAGGGAGGAAAACAUAGUAGAGAUAGCAUACGAGCAUAGUUUGAGUCACAAUAAGAUACAAGUGUACAGAAGAAUCAUGCUUAAUAGAAAGAAAGACAUAAGAGCAAACACAUACGAUCAUAACACAAGCAAACACGCAUAAAAAAGAACAGCAAGAAUCAGAAAGACUUUCAGAAACCUUAAAUGGAAACAAACGAUUUUUGAAAAGAAAAUUUGGGGAAAACACAUAAAAAGGUCUGUGGAACACCGAUAUAGCAUAGAUCUAAGAAAAAAACAGAGAGGAACCUCAAAGAACUUAGGAAUUCUGAGAAACCCUAGAAAUGAGAAAGGCUUGGAAGAACAAGGUCAGAUCCUGGGUCGAUGAGGUCAGGAAUUAGGCCUGCAGUACUUGAAUAUGUUGUAGCAUGGCCGGAGAGGCCGUAGAACUACAGAUCUGAGAAGAACUGAAAAGAAAACCGUCGAGGUCAAAUUCCAAAACCUUGAACAUCCAUGGUCUAAUGGUGGAGAGGGGUGAGUACAGACCAUCCAUGGCCUGAGAAGCCAUAGAUUCCGGUGGAAAAAAGGAUGGAAGUAGGUGGGAUGGGGUUAGGGUUUUGGAAAGGGCUAGAGAGGUUUUGGGAGAUGAAGGCGGCGUGUUUGGAGAGAAUGAUCAGGGUUAGAUGGGUAUGGGAAUUGAAACAGGAAAUAACG
rnacentral:lncRNA from 1 species